rnacentral:rRNA from 1 species
UACGUAGGGUGCGAGCGUUUGUCCGGAAUUAUUGGGCGUAAAGGGCUCGUAGGCGGUCUGUUGCGUCGGUAGUGAAAACUCAGGGCUUAACCCUGAGCCUGCUUCCGAUACGGGCAGACUAGAGGUAUGCAGGGGAGAACGGAAUUCCUGGUGUAGCGGUGAAAUGCGCAGAUAUCAGGAGGAACACCGGUGGCGAAGGCGGGUCUCUGGGCAGUAACUGACGCUGAGGAGCGAAAGCGUGGGGAGCGAACAGG